AUGUACCCUCGUACACUGCGGUUCUGAGCGCGCCGUCCGCACCACCUAGCGAGCGAGCGCCUGACAGUGGGUGCAGUGGUUUUGUCGGCC
rnacentral:sRNA from 5 species